CAGGACGUGGCUGAGCAAGUCAAGCAUCUCACUUACACCGAGAAAACACCCAUGCAAGUUGGGUCGCCCUGA
rnacentral:tRNA from 1 species